AUAUACCUAUUAAGGAACCAGAAGUGACCAUCUUAAAGUCUAGCAAGGAAGAGGUGGAUAGAGAAGGGUUUGCAAUGUAUGUAUGCAACCUGCAGAAAUUCUUCCCUGAUAUUAUCAGAGUGGUCUGGAUUAAAGGUGACUGCGAGCAAGAGGUGAAAUCAGAGCAAGGUGAAGUUAAACACAAUACCGACAGCAACACUUAUUCCUUCAGCAGCUCGAUAAAAGUGUCAAAAUAUGACCUGCACAAGACAUUUACAUGCAAGUACAACCAGGGGACAACCAAGGAAGGCUGGAAAAAUACAUCUGUAUCAGGAAUUGAGUACACUCAAGUUUCUCCAGAUACCCCACGUUUAAAUCGUAUGAUGUACCGAGCAGCACAAAUUACCUAUGCUAUGCUACUCCUGAAGACCUUUAUGUAUAGUUCACUUCUGAUUUUCCUUAAGUCCAAAGAAAAACCAUGA